rnacentral:sRNA from 1 species
AUUUAAUUAGUAGAAAUCAAGGAACAGAGGAUGCUGACAAAAAAUAAUU